rnacentral:rRNA from 1 species
UACGGAGGGUGCAAGCGUUGUCCGGAAUUAUUGGGUUUAAAGGGUGCGCAGGCGGUUUUGUCAGUCAGAGGUUAAAGACCGGAGCUUAACUCCGAGUUUGCCUUUGAUACUGCAAGACUUGAAAUACAUAUGGGUAGGCGGAAUUCCUCAUGUAGCGGUGAAAUGCACAGAUAUGAGGAGGAAGACCGAAGGCGAAGGCAGCUUACUGGGUGUUAUUUGACGCUGAGGCACGAAAGCGUGGGGAGCGAACAGG